rnacentral:rRNA from 1 species
AUGUUGUUCGAAUGCAAAUUGGCAAUGGACGUGUGGAAGAUGCUCGGUCUUGAGCUUGUUAUCAAACAGGCACUGAAAGUUGACAAGGCAGGUGAGCUUGUGUUGGCACAUCUUCUGUGCCUUCCAAAACAACAAAUCCAAGUGUUGGGCUUGCCGAAGUUCAGAGAAACGAUGGCAACGACGGCUUGGUAUUUGUGGUAUGAAAGGCGAAAAUUGACACAUGACGAAGAAACUCAAAGUGCAUAUCAAAUCAAUAUGUCAGUGAGAGGCUUAGUAGAAAAUUAUACCAUCUCUUACAGCCCAAAGGCUCACAUCCGUUCAGAUGCUUGGUUGAAAUCAAAGUAUGGUUACGUGAAAUUAAAUGUUGACGCGGGAUUUGAUAGAGACACACUCGCAGCAACAUUUGGAGCAGUUAUCCGGGACCAUAGGGGGAAAUUUAUAGCGGCUGCUAAUGAAAAGAUGAACCUUUGCUUCGACUCGUUCACAGCAGAAGCAAUUGCAGUGAGGUUUGGUUUGAAUCUUGCUAAUACCGUCGGAUGUAGUAAGAUUGAAGUGAAUUCGGAUAGCGUGGAGGUGGUGAAUGCGUUGAGCCAAGGCUACUCUUCUUCAGUCGCUUCAUCCAUUAUAGACGACUGUUAUUUCAUGUCAUUAGAUUUUUCCCAUGUCAUUUAUGAUUAUUGUAAUAGGGAACGUAAUCGAGUAGCUCAUGAACUAGCAAGGUUAGCUAGGUUUUCUUCUCCGAGUGUUUGA